rnacentral:sRNA from 1 species
UGUCCGACAAAGUAACCUAUACGGCGAAAUCAGCGCAAAGUGGAGAGAAGGAGCGCAUGACCUUCCUGCGGAAAAGCGGGUAAAUAGAUGUUCUGAUAGGUCUGAGCGGACGCUGCUUGCAUGGUAGCGGUUGGUGGUAAUCCGCUAUUUCAUGCUCAGUGACCUUAUACGGCUAUAUGUAACCACCCGACAGCCGGACGGAGCAUUAG